ensembl:lncRNA novel transcript
GCCUGUCCAAGCUACAGAACGCAGAGGCUAAAAUGGGUGCCAGUGAUGUCCCGUGCCUUCCAGAUAUGAACAAAAGGGGACCAUGAGUUGGAUCUUCUCUCAGGGAUAAACUUGCACCAGCCAUGCUUAAGUGAGCUGGUGCUUAAUCACUUUUCCUUCAUGGACAGAGGAUCUAGACUCAUUCUUCUGUGCUUGUUUGUGUUAUUCUUUGACAGCCUGAAGGUAUUGAAAAGGAAAGGACCCAGAGUUUCCUUAUCUGUACAGAAGGUGCCAAAGCCUCCAAGCAGGGAGUUUUGGACUUGCCAAACGAUGUAGUAGAAGGGUCAGCCAGAGGCUUUUUCACUGUUGUGGGGGAUAUUCUAGGACUUGCCUUGCAGAAUCUGGUUGUUCUCCAAAUGCCCUAUGGAAGUGGAGAGCAGAAUGCUGCCCUACUAGCAUCUGAUACUUAUGUUCUGGACUAUCUGAAAUCUACUGAGCAACUGACAGAGGAAGUUCAAUCUAAGGCUUUCUUUCUCUUAUCUAAUGGUUAUCAAAGGCAAUUAUCUUUCAAAAACUCUGAUGGUUCCUAUAGUGUGUUUUGGCAGCAGAGUCAGAAAGGAAGCAUAUGACUCAGUGCUCUUACUUUUAAGACAUUGGAGAGAAUGAAAAAAUAUGUAUUCAUUGAUGAAAAUGUUCAAAAACAGACCUUAAUCUGGCUUUCAAGCCAACAGAAAACAAGCGGCUGCUUUAAGAAUGAUGGCCAGCUUUUCAACCACGCCUGGGAGGUGAGAGAGGAGAAGCACCAGGCUUUCCUUGUUCCUGGGCAUUGCCUGCCUUGCCCUGCCUCUGGCUUUCCUGAUCUGGAAUAUGAAUAUUCUUCCUGUGCAUAUGAAACCUUCUGAGGCACUGCAGUCCUGGGCCUGUGGUGGGUUGGUCAGCAGCACCAUUCCUGCUUUGUGCAUGUUUAACUACAGCCUGGAUGUGACUUCUUCUGAGUCUCUUGUCUGCCUUAUUCAGUCUCUAGUCCUUCCCGAGUCAGUCCUCUUCAGAAAUUAAACUAGAAAUAGAAGGGAGGGGAGAGAAAGGGAACCUAGAAAAGAAACUUUCAUAAAUUUGGAGACAGUCAAUGUAUAAAGGGAGGGGGCUGUGAGUGUAUGAGGAAGGAAAGUUUAUUCCUGUCCAUGAAUGGCAAGAAAGUUCUGGGGAGAAUAUCUAGUAAUUCAUAUUGUUUCAAUGAAGCAAGUUUUUCUAAGACCCUCUCAAGGAAAAAUUCAAAGGCCAAGCUUGCCCCGGGGCCAAAGUACAAAUGAGGUGAAGUAUAUCCUUGGCAAAAUCCAACCCUUUUCCUGUCCAUAUUUACGUAAAUCCCUCCCUUCCAACUUCCUUUCUUUGCAGAUACCUGUCCAUCUCCAGCCCAUUUUCUAUCUCCUUUCCCCUCCUUUUUUUCCCUGUGGUUGCUCAAAAUCUCCUAUCAUGGCAUUUUAGCAUGCUCUGAUGGCCCCUGAAAUACCCUGAGCUUUUCUUCAGCAUCCUUCCUCAUAAUCAUCACUCCUGUUCUUGAAACCCAGAAUGCAUAUCUAAUCCACACACUCUGAUAUUUAAUUUGCAUGCAAAUUGUAUUCAAAUUGCUUUGUGGUAUUUUUAAUGUAUUCCAAACUUAUUCCUUACAACAGGAGGACCCUGAUGGAGAUGAGCUCUUACUCCUUCAUAGAAAAAUCAAAAACUUUCCCACGUUCUCUUCUAAAACAUCUUCACAUCUUUCUUCUUAUUGGAUUCAUUACUGGUGAAUCAUUGCUGAUUACUGCUACAGUUUGUCUGAUCUUACCUAGUAUUUUCUCUAUAAUUAAAUAUCUGUGUGGGUGGGUGUCUGUGUGUGUUUUGAGUUGAGAGAAAUAAAAAUGCAAGGGAAAAAUCAAAGCUUACACUGCAGAGGAAUGGUGAUCCUACUUGCUGUAAUUUAGAUGUACUGACAGUCCUCGUACCUCAUGUUAGUGUCUACCAUAUGCUGUUAUUUCCAUCUUAAACACUUGGUUUCUCAGAAGUAUUUCUUUUCUGAAGAAGACAGGAGUUGUCCUUUGCUUAAAUAGAUAAAAUGGGAAGCUUCUACAAGAUCAGUAGAUCCCAGAUGCCAUUCUGAAUGCUAUUUGCAUCAGAGUCACUAGAGCACCCAUUAAAAUGCAUUUCGCUGUCGUAUUCCCAAGUUUUUUGAACCAGAAUCUCUGUGUAGACACUGGUUGAUUUAAAUACCCCAGGGGACUUUUAUGCACAGUCAGUUUGCAAACCACAUGAUUUAUAAAUGAGUUUCUCAUUUUACACUGUAAGAAUCUGAGACUUGAUUCUGGUGAUCUCCUAGGGUGCUUUUCCAGGAAUUUCCAGGAAUCUUCACGGCAACUUUCUGCUUCACCUCAUUAGAAAUUCUUUGUUGGCUUUUUUCAGAUUUAUACCAAGCGGAGACAAAUAGAGUCCUGUGAAUUCCUUAGAAUGCAUGCUUAACACCAGGCCACAUAAAUACGAUUGAAAUUAAUUGUUAUAACAACUUAAUAAUUAUGAUUUAAUUAUUGCAUAGAGUCUGAAUGAAUUCUUGCUUAGAUAGUAUGAUUAUUAACCAUCUAAUUUAAAAACUACACAUGUUCGGGUGUUUUUAUGAAUAAUGGUAUUUGUUCCAGUAUUUUUUUCAUACCUAGUUUUACUUCAAAAGAAUACUUGCUAUUUUGUGCUCUGCUGUCCCGAAUGACUCAUUGUUCCUUUGUUUUCAGGGUGGAGAUGAAGAGGACAUUUCACUCACUGCGUAUGUUGUUGGGAUGUUCUUUGAAGCUGGGCUCAAUUUCACUGUAUGGAUUCCCGUCAUUUCUGAUUUCAGGCAGCUGAAUGCACAUUCAAUAGACUGUAGAGUCAGAGUCACUUGAGAUUCUAAGACUGGAUGAAACCCCGAGAUAACAUUUAGUUUAUUACCACCCUUUAAAUUCAUGCUGUUCAAACUGUUUUUCAUUCAUAGACAGCUUUGAAAAACAGGAUUGGGUUUCUCCCUAGGGAGAAUACACAUAUGCACACAAAAAAGAGUUAUUCACACAAUUGCAGGCAUUCACAUCUCUCCUGAAGUUCAGCCAUGAAUUUCAGAUUAAGAACCACUGUUCUAAGUAAAGCCGUGGCCUAGUAUUCUGUUUCUCUCUAAACAAUAAGUGAGUAAACAUUUUCAACUUAAGUGUGGCUCACCCUAGCCACCUCCCAAUCCAUAGAUUAGAUUUCCAAAAUCUAUUCCUGAACUAAGAUGCUAGGAAUUGUCAGGGUCAUUAGUAUACCCUGAAAAUUAUCUUCACAAAUGUAAGCCUCUAUUUUAGGCACUAGAAAAAAAAAAACUCUUAGGCCUAUGAUAAAUUUGGAUGCUUUGCCGCAUAGAAGACAUUCAUAACUAAAAUAUCACUGAUCAAAUAUAAAAACUGCCAUUUUCUUACUAAAUUUCAUUGGGCCUGGCAUGGUGGUUCAUGUUUAUAAUCCAAGCACUUUGGGAGGCUGAGGUGGGUGGAUUACCUGAGGUCAGGAGUUCAAGACCAGCCUGGCCAACAUGGUGAAACCCUAUCUCUACUAAAGAUACAAAAAUUAGCUGGGCUUGGUGGUGCAUGCCUGUGAUCCCAGCUACUCAGAAGAUGGAGGCAGGAGAAUCGCUUGAACCUGGGAGGUGGAGGUUGCAGUGAGCUGAGAUCAUGCCACUGCACUCCAGCCUGGGUAACAGAGCAAGACCCUAUCUCAAAAAAAAAUUAUUGCUUAGGUACUAAUAAUGACAUUAUAAAUUUAUUUUAAUGAUAUUUUUGAAGGAUAAAAUAUAUGUGUAUAUAUAAAUGGAUUUGUAUGUAAAAUAUACUUUGAGGAUAUAUUAUAUAUAUUAUAAACAAUGAUUAGUUUAAAUGUUCAACAAGUUCAUGGAAUGUUCGGGUAUCAGUUUACAAUAUAUGAUUCUUCUUCCUGACCAACAGUUUCCUGCUCUACGAAACGCACUCUUUUGCCUUGAAGCGGCAUUGGACAGUGGUGUCACUAAUGGCUAUAAUCAUGCAAUUCUAGCUUAUGCUUUUGCCUUAGCUGGAAAAGAGAAGCAAGUGGAAUCUUUACUCCAAACCCUGGAUCAAUCUGCCCCAAAACUAAAUAAUGUCAUCUACUGGGAAAGAGAAAGGAAACCCAAGACAGAAGAAUUUCCAUCCUUUAUUCCCUGGGCACCUUCUGCUCAGACUGAGAAGAGUUGCUACGUGCUGUUGGCUGUCAUUUCCCGGAAAAUUCCUGACCUCACCUAUGCUAGUAAGAUUGUGCAGUGGCUUGCCCAACGGAUGAAUUCCCAUGGAGGCUUUUCUUCCAACCAGGCUCCGGUAGAUUGCAAACGACCUGCUUUCUUUGUGAUCCCGGCUGCAUUCGGACCCCUGUCAGACAGUAAAUCCCAAGUAAGGUACCUGCCAUCGGCAGAUCUGAGCUUUCUUCUUGGACACCUAAAACCCACAGUCCUCCACUUGGGUCCUAAGGGUCUUAGGAUCCGCGAUGGGGGUAAUAACCAGCGGGGGAAGAGGGGCUGGCUCUCAGUCCCCGCCUCGCGGGGGGUGCCUCCCCCCUCUGCGAUGGGGGUUCCAAGAGCCAGGGGGGGAAGAGGGGCUGGCUCUCAGUCACUGCCUCGUGGGGGAUGCCUCCCCCCCUGCGAUGGGGGUCCUAAGAGCCAGGGGGGUAAGAGGGACUGGCUCUCAGUCCCCGCCUCGCGGGGGGGUGCCUCAUCCCCCUGCGAUGGGGGUCCUAAGAGCCAGGAGGGGAAGAGGGGGAGAGGAUGAUACUAAUUUCAGCAUCGCCGGCUGUGUUCACCCAGCCUGUGAAAUUAUUAAUAUCCUGAAAGGGAGAGAAUGAUAUUACUCCCCAUAAUAGACAGAUACGACUCCGCAUAAUAGAGCACGAGGUGUACACCCACCCUGUGAUAUUCUUCCUCAUAUUCAGAAGCCAAGAAGUUGAUAUUACUCGUAAUAUCGCAGGACGUAUACACCCUCGUGUUAGAUGGUCCUUAAUAAUAUUCCAGGGCGGAGUGGGUGAUGUGACUACAUAUAUGGCAGAAAGUGGAAACCCCCCUGAGAUAUUGUUCCCACGGUCCUGGAGGGAAGAAAAUGAUAUUACUUUCAAUAUGACAGAAGGUGGACACGCCCCCACUGAUAUUGUUUCUAAUUGCAACGUGGGAGAGGAGGAUAUGACACGCGAUAUCGCAGGGAGUAGAAACACCCCUGUGAUACUGUUCUUAAUAUUCAGGGAGGAAGAGGAUGAUAUUACUCCCAAUACAGAUGGGUGUACGCCCUCUGUACACUGAGGGUGUACACCCGUCUGUGAAACAGUUCAUAAUCUCCAGAGGUCUCCAGAGGGGGAGAUGAUAUUACUCACAAUAUGGUAAACAGGCUGUGAGUCCACCGUGGAUCCUAAGAGCCAGGGGGGGAAGAGGGGCUGGCUCUCAGUCACCACAGCAUGGGGGGCCUUUAUGUUCAGGUUUUGCCCAAGAGUCAGCUUAUUUGCUUCUAGUACUAGCAGGGUAGAUGCUGCCAAGGCCCUCAAACAGGGGGGCCAUCCCUUAGAAACCCUGUCUAGUUGUUUAGAGACGUAGGCCACCGGCCUCAGCCAGGUCCCCACAGUUUGGGUUAAAAGUCCAGCUGCCAUCUUUUCUCCCUCUGACACAUACAAUGGGAAAGGCUUUGUCAGUUCGGGUAGCCCCAGGGCUGGGGCUGCCAGAAGUUUUUCCUUUAACUCAUGAAAGCCUUGCUGUUGUUGGCAUCCCCUUUCCAAAGCUUCCCGGUCCCUGCCCCUUUUGUGACCUCAUACAAAGGCUUGGCUAAUACUGCAAAGUUUGGAAUCCACAGUCUCCAAAACCCCACAGCUCCUAAGAAUUCUGUCACCUGCCUUCUGCCCUUAGGCUCCCGUAGAUUGCAAAGGACAUGCUUUCUUUGUGAUCCCGGGCUGCAUUCGGACCCCUGUCGGAUAGUGAAUUCCAAAUAAUGUACCUACCGUCGGCAGAUCUGAGCUUUCUUCUUGGACACCUAAUACCCACAGUCCUCCAGUGAAGGAUCCAGUGAGAUUUUCCAGGUUAACGGUCAUAACCGCCUACUGGUCCAACGUUCAGAAGUAACACAGGCACCUGGAGAAUACACAGUAGAUGUGGAAGGACACGGUUGUACAUUUAUCCAGGCCACCCUUAAGUACAAUGUUCUCCUACCUAAGAAGGCAUCUGGAUUUUCUCUUUCCUUGGAAAUAGUAAAGAACUACUCUUCGACUGCUUUUGACCUCACAGUGACCCUCAAAUACACUGGAAUUCGCAAUAAAUCCAGUAUGGUGGUUAUAGAUGUAAAAAUGCUAUCAGGAUUUACUCCAACCAUGUCAUCCAUUGAAGAGCUUGAAAACAAGGGCCAAGUGAUGAAGACUGAAGUCAAGAAUGACCAUGUUCUUUUCUACUUGGAAAAUGGUUUUGGUCGAGCAGACAGUUUCCCUUUUUCUGUUGAGCAGAGCAACCUUGUGUUCAACAUUCAGCCAGCCCCAGCCAUGGUCUACGAUUAUUACGAAAAAGGUAGGCAAGCAACAGCCAUGCCCUAAGGUUAUUGAAUGUGUUAUUUAUAUAUAACAUUCCCUGAGCUACUAAACUUUCCAAAAUCAACCUCCGUCUUCACAGAGUAAACAAUAGAUGGCAUUACUUUGUAUACUGGUUUCUUUAUCCCAUGAUGUGUCUUCUGACUGAACCCAUUUUCCAGUUACCAGAGUUUUUCAACACCAGAAUCCUUGCAAUAUAACCUGACAGGGCUCCACUUGAACUUGAAAUACAAGCCACACUAAGCUUCCAGGUCUUUUUGUUAUUGUCAUUGUUGUUCAUGCUAAGACUGACUGUUCCAAGCUACUGCUGUGGACUUUGACUUAAAAAGAGGAGUGGGGAAUAUUCUGAAAUGCUAACUUAAAAAUUUGAUAGAUUAAUUUCUAAAACAUAUACAAAGAUGUUGUAGAGACCACACAACUGUUCCCUGGAAGGUUGGUACUAUUUAUUUCUUGUUGAAUGCUGUGUGAAGUUUGUGGAGUGUUUGAAUUCUGUCUCUAUCAAUCAUUUACUAAUAGAAUAUAUUUCAUCAAGUGUCUUAAAUAUUAUUAGCAUAUUUCUGGAUGUAUAAAAUGGGAAAGUAAUUGUCUCUAUUUCAAAAUUAUUGGAAGGAUUAGAUCUAAUGUGCUUAUAUCAUCUAUUUAAUAAAAAUACAUGUUCCCUUUAUUUUUUCAGAAGAAUAUGCCCUAGCUUUUUACAACAUCGACAGUAGUUCAGUUUCCCAGUGAGACAAAGCAAUUACUGGAAGAGGUGAAGAAAUUUUAUUACGUCAUAAACCAUUGAAAACACAUCUAGUAAGAAAAUGAAAACCUGAAUAAGAUAGGACAGUAGUUGAAGAAAGAAAAGUGUCUGGUACUUCAUUAGACUUGUGUAGCUGUGUACUGCAUGAGUAAUCUGAUAAUCAUUAAGAUUAUAUUAAUUUCUUUAAAAAUAGCUUUAAAGAAUUCACAGCUAUAUAUGUACCUUUUAUAAAUCUCUCAUUUUUGUUUUGUAAGUUGACAGGUCAGUAAAAAUUUAGGCAUAUAUAUUUGUACAUAUGUGUGUGUAUGUACAUGUCUAUGUGCCUAUAUAUGCAUGAUUUUAUAUCUAAAUAUCUAUUUAUAUAUACAUACAAACGUGUUUAUUGUUUAAACGAUGUUUUAAAUCCCAGGUGGAAAAGCAUUUCUUGUAACAAACCGAUUCUUCUGUAUCAAACCUGGAAAAAAAUCAUGAACCAUCUGACAUCGUGAACAGUUUGCAGUGGGCUAUGGUUUCUUGUCAAGUCUUAUUUCCUUAUCAUCCCAUUAAAUGUUGUCAUUUUGCAUCUGA